AUGCCUUGGCUCUCAGAGGCGAAGAAGGACGUGAUAAGCUGCGAAAAGCUUCGGGGAGGUGCAAAUAACCUUUGAUCCGGAGAUAUCCGAAUGGGGCAACCCGGUACGUUGAAGACGUAUCAUUCCGGGAAACCGGAAAGCAAACGCGGUGAACUGAAACAUCUAAGUAACCGCAGGAGAAGAAAACAAUAGUGAUUCCCUAAGUAGUGGCGAGCGAACGGGGAAGAGCCCAAACCACAGAUGUUACGGCAUGUGUGGGGUUGUAGGACUGCAAUAGUUGACUGUAAAUUUGUAGUUGAAUCACACUGGAAAGUGUAACCAUAGGAGGUGAUAGUCCUGUAAGCGAAACAAAUUUACUACACGAGCAGUAUCCUGAGUACCGCGGGACCGGAGAAAUCCUGUGGGAAUCUGCCAGCACCAUCUGGCAAGGCUAAAUACUCCUGAGAGACCGAUAGCGAACCAGUACUGUGAAGGAAAGGUGAAAAGAACCGCGAACAGCGGAGUGCAAUAGAACCUGAAACCGUGCGCCUACAAACGGUCGGAGGCCAGGCCAUAGCUUGCUAUGGUAGUAGCUAACGGCGUGCCUUUUGCAUAAUGAGCCUACGAGUUACUCCUCUCUGGCAAGGUUAAGUGUUUUAAAGCACGGAGCCGAAGCGAAAGCGAGUCUGAACAGGGCGAAGAGUCAGAGGGGGUAGACGCGAAACUUUGUGAUCUACCCAUGACCAGGUUGAAGGUCCGGUAACACGGACUGAAGGACCGAACCAGUUGACGUUGAAAAGUCUUUGGAUGAGUUGUGGGUAGGGGUGAAAGGCUAAUCAAACUGAGAGAUAGCUCGUACUCCCCGAAAUGCCUUUAGGGGCAGCCUCGAGGUUGAGUUUUAUAGAGGUAGAGCUACUGAUAGGAUGCGGGGGCUUCACCGCCUACCAAUUCCUGACAAACUCCGAAUGCUAUAAAAUAUACUCGGGAGUGAGGCGUAGGGUGCUAAGGUCCUGCGCCGAGAGGGAAAGAACCCAGACCAUCAGUUAAGGUCCCCAAAUGUAUGCUAAGUUGAUCUAACGAGGUUCGACUGCAUUGACAGCUAGGAUGUUGGCUUGGAAGCAGCCAUUCAUUUAAAGAGUGCGUAACAGCUCACUAGUCGAGCGGUCGGGCGUGGAUGAUAAUCGGGCAUAAGUAUACUACCGAAACUGUGGAUUUCCGACGUAAAGUCGGAACUGGUAGGGGAGCAUUCCGGUCCGCGUAGAAGGUGUGUUGUAAGACAUGCUGGAGCGUCCGGAAAAGCAAAUGUAGGCAUAAGUAACGAUAAUGCGGGUGAGAAACCCGCACACCGGAAGACCAAGGUUUCCUGAUCAACGCUAAUCGGAUCAGGGUUAGUCGGGACCUAAGGCGUAGCCGAAGGGCGAAGUCGAUGGACAACAUGUUAAUAUUCAUGUACCGGCAAUAACUGCGAUGGGGUGACGGAGUAGUGACAGGCAUGCGUACUGACGGAAUAGUACGUUGAAGGGUGUAGAUAUAUCAUUUACAGGCAAAUCCGUAGAUGAUGUCGAACCUGAUAGUACCGUGAGGCUUCGGCCAAGCGGAUAAUUGCUGUAAACAGACUUCCAGGAAAAACCUCUAAGCAUCAGGUUAUUGGCGCCCGUACCGGAAACCGACACAGGUGGUCGAGGAGAGUAUCCAAAGGUGCUCGAGUGAAUCAUAGUUAAGGAACUAGGCAAAUUAGUCCUGUAACUUCGGGAGAAAGGACGCCCCGAGCAAUCGGGGCCGCAGAGAAAUGGCCCAGGCGACUGUUUAUCAAAAACACAUGGCUUUGCUAAAUCGAAAGAUGACGUAUAAGGCCUGACACCUGCCCGGUGCUGGAAGGUUAAGAGGAGAGGUUAGUCGCAAGGCGAAGCUUUGAAUUGAAGCCCCAGUAAACGGCGGCCGUAACUAUAACGGUCCUAAGGUAGCGAAAUUCCUUGUCGGGUAAGUUCCGACCUGCACGAAUGGUGUAACGAUCUGGGCACUGUCUCAACUAUGAGCUCGGUGAAAUUGUAGUUCCGGUGAAGAUGCCGGAUACCCGCAACGGGAC
rnacentral:rRNA from 1 species